rnacentral:rRNA from 1 species
AUGAACGCUAGCGGCAGGCUUAACACAUGCAAGUCGAACGAAGUAGCAAUACUUAGUGGCAGACGGGUGAGUAACAUGUGGGUAUCUACCCUUUGGCCUGGAAUAACACGAGGAAACUUGUGCUAAUACCGGAUAAGUCUUUACGGAGAAAGCUUUAUGCACCAUUGGAUGAGCCUGCACUUGAUUAGUUUGUUGGUAGGGUAAUGGCCUACCAAGACUGUGAUCAAUAGCUGAUUUGAGAGGAUGAUCAGCCACAUUGGGACUGAGACACGGCCCAAACUCCUACGGGGAGGCAGCAGUGGGGAAUCUUGC